UUAAACUAAAUGUCAAUGUCCUUAUAAAAAAUCAAUACAAAUAAUAUCAAUAUCCACCCUUGUCAUCUUUGCCGACCAAUCUAAAAAAUUGAACAAAAAUUAAUUAGUAAUCACUAAUUAGAGUACAAAAUAACUAUGCAACAAACUUAAUAUAGCUAUUUUACUAUUCUCUUUCAAAUUCAAUGGAUGAAUAUAAAACAAUAUCAGUCCAAAGUAGUAGUUAAAAAUCAUAUUCAUAACUAUUAAUUAUCUUUACAAAAGCACAAUUUAAAUUCAAUGGAAAAAAAUGUAAUACAAGGCUUAACAAGACUUAAAAUGGAAAAAAAAGGUAGCACCUCUUUUAACAAGACUUAUAAGGCAGUCAAUCUGCAAAACAAUCACACUCAUUAACAUAUAAAAAAACACACAAAAAGAUAUAAUAUAAAACUAAUAAGAAGAAAAUGAAAUAAAAAAAGAAAGAAGUUAGUCAUUCCAUUUAAAAUUGGUAAAUCUAAAAAAUAAAAACAAUGAAUAUAUUACGAUUUAAUUUUACCUCUCAAAUAUGUGAAAAACACACAAAUAUAUGAAAAACACAAGACAAAUCCAUGCAAAACAUUAAACAAACAUAAUGAAAUAAAAAAAAAGUUAGUCAUAUAAAUUAAAAUCAGUAAAUAAAAAAAAUAUAAUAAAUGUAUUAUGAUUGUGUAUCACCUUUAAAAUCUGGAAAAUGCAUAAGUCUAUUUUGAGUAUUUUGAAAACAAUCUAAAAUAAAUAAGCAUAUAAAAUAAAAGAAAAACAUUGUUAGUCAAACCCUACCAAAAAAAUGACAUACAAAGAAAAAAGCUAAACUUUAUUAACACAAUAACUUAAACAAGACUCGUAUAGUUUAAAACGUGAAAUCAUAUAGUUUAAAAAGAAAGAUAAGUGAUGAAAACCUGAACGAAUAUCAUUCGUUUCACGGCACUAAUCGUUGUUCCUUUUAGGGUUGAGCGAGAGAGAGAGAUUCAUGAAGUGGAAGUGGGAUUGAGACUCAUGAGAUGAGGGUUGUGAAAGUGAGGGCGACUGUUGAGUGAAGUGUUGGCUAGGGUUUAGAAA
rnacentral:lncRNA from 1 species